GCCUUCAAUUCCUUCAAGAACAAUUAUCUUGGGCCGUCAGUCGCAUGAUGGAUAAGUUCUCCCUUGUUUACGGUUGGAGCUUAUUUGAGUGUUAAUGAGGCUAUGAUGAGGCAGCUCCAGGCUACAAACCAUAUAGACAGAAAGAUGGUGCUCUUUUAGCCAUUGAGGUCUUAUUUGAUAGGCUGAAGCAGACUGAGCCAUGUAAAUGUCAGCCGGAACAAAUGCUAGUGCAGCAUGCAUUUCUUGAGUUUGGAAAGCCAAGUUGAUCAUUUGAGAGCAAAGUUAUAGAUGAGGCACUGUAUAGCAUUUUCCAUUACACGGAUAUUGGAAGUUGGCAGAAAAUUUGAAAAGCUGUCACCUAUUUCCUGGAAAUGAAAUUUUGUUUCCAAGAAAAAUUUCAGCUUCAGAUCAGUCCGAGUAUGAUGCUAAUAAGCUUGCAGUAAACUCCAUUGCAUAGUUGGUGGUAAUGCAUCUAUCAGUGCUGAAUAUGCUGUCAGCAAAACUAGUGCUGUUUGAGGGGUUUUGCAUCUUGGCUUUUGAAAGCUUGGCUGCACACUUGAAAUGUGAAUUAGAGGGUGGCUUCUCUAAGAGCAAUGAACUACAUUUUUCUUGUUUUAGUGCUUACAUUUACCCUCACUGUUAAGGCAUAAUGCUAAGCUGUUUGUAUCAUUCCUACCUUGAGACAAUUUAUGAUGUGAUGUACAAAGGAUCCUUCUUGAAUUUAUAAUGUCCCAUACAUCAGCGGGAAUAACAUCCUGAUAUAGGGGACAUAACUGGGGAUAUAGUGGCAGAUAGGGUGUGUUGUUAUUCAACCCUCCAGAGAGCAUGGUUAACAUCAGUUUUAAUUGAAUUUUCAGGUACACUGAACAUAUUUCCACAGAGACAAGGCCAUGGAAGCUUACUGGAGUAAGGAGCCACUUGAUUUCGUUUUGUGAAAGACCCUUCUUGAAUUUGUAAUGUCCCAUACACAACCAGCAUGUCCUUAGUGAAGCGAGUUCAAGUGGCUCCUUAUUCCAGUAAGCCCCCGUGGCCUUGUCUGUGCAGAAAUGUGUUCAAGUAUGCUUGGAAGUUUAGUUAAAACUGAUGGUAACCCUGUCUGGAGGGUUGAAUAACAACGUCCUUAUCUGCCCCUAUUGGUGGGCAGUUUUUAUUAUUUGAGCCAUUGUUGCUGUUGGAAUGCUCAUAUUUUUCACGUUUGAGGGAGCAUUGGAGAGAUAUAAUCAUCAUCUUGUGCUGCACCGUCGUCUGUGGAGUGGUUUUAAGUAUGAGCUAUGCACUUCCUAUAGUGUGUCAGCCAUAGCGAAAUAUAUGAAGUUCUCUCCAUCAUGUUCUAAUCAGCUGCUUGUAGAGUCUAAUUUCAGUAUAAUAUAUGUAAUAGGUUUGUAGAGUUUUGGCAUUCCAUUGUUUUUAUACGGUUGAAGAGCAGAUCUUGGACUGUGUAAGCCAUUGAUAAAUAUAUGUAGUUCUUGUCUCCAUUAUGU